rnacentral:rRNA from 1 species
AGGACGAACGCUGGCGGCGUGCUUAACACAUGCAAGUCGAGCGGUAAGGCCUUUCGGGGUACACGAGCGGCGAACGGGUGAGUAACACGUGGGUGAUCUGCCCUGCACUUCGGGAUAAGCCUGGGAAACUGGGUCUAAUACCGGAUAUGACCUCCUAUCGCAUGGUGGGUGGUGGAAAGAUUUAUCGGUGCAGGAUGGGCCCGCGGCCUAUCAGCUUGUUGGUGGGGUAAUGGCCUACCAAGGCGACGACGGGUAGCCGACCUGAGAGGGUGACCGGCCACACUGGGACUGAGACACGGCCCAGACUCCUACGGGAGGCAGCAGUGGGGAAUAUUGCACAAUGGGCGAAAGCCUGAUGCAGCGACGCCGCGUGAGGGAUGAAGGCCUUCGGGUUGUAACCGUC